rnacentral:rRNA from 1 species
UACGGAGGGUGCAAGCGUUAUCCGGAUUCACUGGGUUUAAAGGGUGCGUAGGUGGAUCGGUAAGUCCGUGGUGAAAUCCCCGAGCUUAACUCGGGAACUGCCGUGGAUACUAUCGAUCUUGAAUACUGUGGAGGUAAGCGGAAUAUGUCAUGUAGCGGUGAAAUGCUUAGAUAUGACAUAGAACACCGGUGGCGAAGGCGGCUAUCUGGACCGACAUUGACGCUGAGGCGCGAAAGCGUGGGGAGCAAACAGG